UUGGCUCAGGAUGAACGCUGGCGGCGUGCCUAACACAUGCAAGUCGAACGGAGUUAUUUUGACGGAUUCCUUCGGGAUGACGGAUUUUUAACUUAGUGGCGGACGGGUGAGUAACGCGUGAGUAACCUGCCUCUAAGAGGGGAAUAACGUUCUGAAAAGAUCGCUAAUACCGCAUAACAUAUUGAAGCCGCAUGACUUCGAUAUCAAAGAUUUAUCGCUUAGAGAUGGACUCGCGUCCGAUUAGCUUGUUGGCGGGGUAACGGCCCACCAAGGCGACGAUCGGUAGCCGGACUGAGAGGUUGAACGGCCACAUUGGGACUGAGACACGGCCCAGACUCCUACGGGAGGCAGCAGUGGGGAAUA
rnacentral:rRNA from 1 species